rnacentral:lncRNA from 1 species
AUGUGGGAAGUGAAGAGUAAGCAUUCUUGGAAAAAAUUGGAAAAGCUCUUUGUGGCCACCACUUUUUUAAAGCUUCAAGCCAUGACCUUUAUGACUUCGGUACAUUACGGGUACCACUGUGCCCACGGAAAAGGCAAAUAUAAUCCAAAAAAUAUCGGAGAGAGACCGAAGAGCACUGAGGAGCCUGCUGAAGGCCAUCACAAGAAGGUGCCAGGAGCUCGUGGAAGAGCUGACACCAUCCAGGUGACCCACAGCAGGGGCUGGAGGUGCUCUCUUUGUGGGAAUGCCGAGGAUGAAGCUUUUUCCUGCUUUUUCCCAAGCUCUCCUAACGACGCCGUGCCUACUUCUCGUACAUUGAUGAGGAAUUGA